rnacentral:tRNA from 1 species
GGGGAUAUAGCUCAGCGGUAGAGCGCUCGCUUUGCAUGUGAGAGGCCUCGGGUUCGAACCCCGAUAUCUCCA